GCGCCCGUAGCUCAACUGGAUAGAGUGCUUGGUUACGGCCCAAGAGGUUGAGGGUUCGACUCCUUCCGGGCGCGCCA
rnacentral:tRNA from 1 species